CAGUCCCCUCCGGCGUUGGCGGUGUCCGUGGCGACGUUGCUCGUUCCAACGGUGACUGGCAACACGCCAGUCGGCACCGGCAGUGUUCCACUCUCGAAGUAGUCCCAGUCACAGUCUUCGAGGGAUUGCGUGGGCCCAGCGCCGCGCGGCAACCCGUUCAGGAAAGAGGAGCUCGAGCAGCUGCUGUCCGCGUCGUCCUCCUCGCGACCGGAAGACGAGUCCGAACUGAUGAAGACUAGCCGCCUGUAAUCGAUGGCAGGCUGAUCCUGACCCUGACCGUUCCCGGUCGGACUCCGCUGUCUGCCACCACGGCCAAUCACGUGCAACGCCUGCAGACCCUGAAGCUCCUCCGCGCAACAGCUUCUCGCGUGUGAUCGUCCUCUUCGUCGCGAACCUGUUGAAUGCAAACGGUUUCGUGUGUGGAUCAGCCUGCUCUUUUUUCUUUCCUUCGUUCCGCAGUGCUCGAUACGUUCGAUAAGAUCGGAGGAAAAGAACGGGCAGCGACAACCGGCGCGGUUGUCGACUUAUCGCUGGAUUAUCGAUACCGAUGCAGAUGUUAUCACCGCGGAUAGAGAUAGCGGGCUAGGAGAUCGCGAUCCUGUGGUCGAUUGGAACACGAUAGUGGCGCAGUGGGACAGAGUUCGCUGUUACUCGAAUAAAAUAUCGAGUAAACUUUUCCUAAUACUGUGUACAGGUCCAGUACUUCGGGCAUUUUAUGUACUUUAAGAAUAUUUUUAUUCUUUAUCUGAGAUAUAUCGUUGACGAUCUAAAAAAUCAGUUGAAUUUUCUGCGGACCGUUACGAAAAGCAGCAGAAAGAGAAACAAUGUGUAUAACCGAGUAUUUACGAGGUAAGAGAAUGGGUGGCCCAUCGCCUAUGCUGUUUCCCGCUAGUGAAUUAUUAAAGGUUCAAAAGACAGUCAAGAGUAAGUUGGAAGGUUGCACACGUGUCGAUCAAUGACACACAUAGGGGUUCUCGGAGGAAGAGAAAGGGCUGCAAUAAUCGAUAAAAGGAAGGUCACGUUUCAUGUUUUCCCAAGAAAAUAGUUUUAUUUGCUACUUUUCUGACGAAAACCGAAUGCGAUAGAAUACCAUACAAGUUUGCGAAAUAUACGGUGCGAAUUUUAACCCUUUGCACUCAAAAGUUUCUCAAUGGAAAUAUUCAACAUUUUCUAACGAGAUAUAGUUUGAAACUAAUUUAUCGAUAAUUCAUAGAUAAAUU